rnacentral:lncRNA from 1 species
CCCCCCAACUUAAUCUACAUUGUCCUUAAUGGAGUAGGAAAGCAAAGAAAAUAAAAGGAGAGAGUGCACCUGAGAUAAUUUUGCUUCGAAAGUUGAAGAUAGCUUCAUUGAUUAAUAGGCUCUUGUUCUAAAUUUCUGCAGCUGCGGUAAAGUAAAAAAUAUGAAAUCAGUGGGUUGCCUCCCAACAAGUGCUAAGUUUUACGUCUUCAGCCAGACUGAAUUGAGUAUUAUGGCAGUUUUGGAUCCACUAAAUCAACAGAUUCAAUUAAUUCUCCAUCACUACUUCCAUCUAUGUAAGGUUUCAAUCGCUG